rnacentral:rRNA from 1 species
GACGAACGCUGGCGGCGUGCUUAACACAUGCAAGUCGAACGAUGAAGCUGGAGCUUGCUCCGGUGGAUUAGUGGCGAACGGGUGAGUAACACGUGAGUAAUCUGCCCUUGACUCUGGGAUAACUGCGGAAAACUGUAGCUAAUACCGGAUACGACACCUUCGGGCAUCCGAUGGGUGUGGAAAGAAUUUCGGUCAAGGAUGAACUCGCGGCCUAUCAGCUAGUUGGUGAGGUAAUGGCUCACCAAGGCGACGACGGGUAGCCGGCCUGAGGGGGUGACCGGCCACACUGGGACUGAGACACGGCCCAGACUCCUACGGGAGGCAGCAGUGGGGAAUAUUGCACAAUGGGCGAAAGCCUGAUGCAGCAACGCCGCGUGAGGGAUGAAGGCCUUCGGGUUGUAAACCUUUUUUAGUUGGGAAGAAGCGAAAGUGACGGUACCAACAGAAAAAGCACCGGCUAACUACGUGCCAGCCGCCGCCGUAA